GGAUUAGUAGAUCAAAUCAAUAGUGCAGUUUUUCCUCCGCUCCACAAGGCGGCGAGAGCGCGUUUCACCUUCAGUCUGACACCUUUCAAUGAUGGACGACAUGACGCUUGAUGAAAACAACAACACAUGCAGGUCCUGCAGAAUAAAUACAAUAAUGACACUUAAACAGCUCAUUUUCCUUCUCAUCUGCACAUAAAUCUGACAGGCAGACCGUUAAAAUGAAGGAAUCCAGCAUGUCAACGAGAUUCACCUCUAAGAUCAGUGACGUGUUGUGGACUGUAAGCCUGUUGAACAGAAGCAGAGACGUGUGGACAGACACUGACUGUACUGAUGAUGAUCAUCUGCUGCUGCACAGGCUGUAAAGUAUAACCCCUGCUGGACACGGCUCCGGAAGCUCCAGGGGGAGACCGUAUUGGUAUCCCCCCUUCUUCAGGCACGCCUCACACUCACUCACCAUUCACACAUAUCGCAGAGUUCUGGCUGGCAUUGAACCAGCAACCCCUGAAGCCAUGGGGCAGCGCUCUUACCACAGAGCCACAGAUCUCCUGACUGAACACCUGCUGGUACUGGUGUUUGACUGCAGACCUGUGUGUGAGCUGUUUCAAUAAAACAAGAAAC